rnacentral:rRNA from 1 species
GGGAUUGCCUCAGUAACGGCGAGUGAAGCGGCAACAGCUCAAAUUUGAAAUCUGGCCCCCUCGGGGUCCGAGUUGUAAUUUGCAGAGGGUGCUUUGGCGUUGGCCGUGGUCUAAGUUCCUUGGAACAGGACGUCACAGAGGGUGAGAAUCCCGUACGUGGCCGCCGGUCUUCGCCGUGUAAAGCCCCUUCGACGAGUCGAGUUGUUUGGGAAUGCAGCUCUAAAUGGGAGAUAAAUUUCUUCUAAAGCUAAAUAUUGGCCAGAGACCGAUAGCGCACAAGUAGAGUGAUCGAAAGAUGAAAAGCACUUUGGAAAGAGAGUCAAAAAGCACGUGAAAUUGUUGAAAGGGAAGCGCUUGCAGCCAGACGUGCCCGCAGUUGCUCACCUGGGCUCUCGCCCGGGGCACUCUUCUGCGGGCAGGCCAGCAUCAGUUCGGGCGGUUGGAUAAAGGCCUCUAUCACGUACCACCCUUCGGGGUGUCCUUAUAGGGGAGGCGCAACACGGCCAGCUCGAACUGAGGACCGCGCAUCAGCUAGGAUGCUGGCGUAAUGGCUGUAAGCGGCCCGUCUUGAAACACGGACCAAGGAGUCUAACAUCUAUGCGAGUGUUUGGGUGUCAAGCCCGGGCGCGCAAUGAAAGUGAACGGAGGUGGGAACCCCUUACGGGGUGCACCAUCGACCGAUCCUGAAGUUUACGGAAGGAUUUGAGUAAGAGCAUAGCUGUUGGGACCCGAAAGAUGGUGAACUAUGCCUGAAUAGGGUGAAGCCAGGGGAAACCCUGGUGGAGGCUCGCAGCGGUUCUGACGUGCAAAUCGAUCGUCAAAUUUGGGCAUAGGGCGAAAGAC